CCUACGGGAGGCAGCAGUAAGGAAUAUUGGACAAUGCUCGCAAGAGUGAUCCAGCCAUGCCGCGUGCAGGAAGAAUGCCCUAUGGGUAGUAAACUGCUUUUGAACUAGAGAAAAUCCCAGUACGUGUACUGGGCUGAUAGUAUAGUUAGAAUAAGCAUCGGCUAACUUCGUGCCAGCAGCCGCGGUAAGACGAAGGAUGCAAGCGUUAUCCGGAUUCAUUGGGUUUAAAAGGGAGCGUAGGUGGACUGAUAAGUCAGUGGUGAAAUCUCCGAGCUUAACUCGGAAAUUGCCAUUGAUACUGUUGGUCUUGAGUACAGUUGCUGUGGGCGGAAUAUGACAUGUAGUGGUGAAAUACAUAGAGAUGUCAUAGAACACCGAUUGCGAAGGCAGCUCACAAAGCUGUAACUGACACUGAGGCUCGAAAGUGGNGGAGUACAACAGAUAGUAUACCUACGUAGUCGCGACCGUAACGAACGUAGUAUUACUACGUCUCGCGUA
rnacentral:rRNA from 1 species